CAUAAAAGGAUGAAAGAGGGAUACAAUAAACUAAGAAGGAUCAACGCAAGCCUGAGUAAAAGGGCAGGAAACAAAUUUGCCACUAUGCUGGAUGGCUAGCUGGUUCAAAGUAAUGAUGGUCCAAAGCCUGGUAAGUCAAAGUGAUGAUGGCCCAAAGGCUGGGAAGUCAAGGUGAUGAUGGCCCAAAGGCUGGGAAGUCAAGGUGAUGAUGGCCCAAAGCCUGGUAAGUCAAGGUGAUGAUGGCCCAAAGGCUGGGAAGUCAAAGUGAUGAUGGUCCAGAGCCUGGGAAGUUUUCAGAAUUCUAUAAUUUGAUGAAGGGUGUGACUUUGAAGUGCUGGUGACCUUGGAUGACUUUGUUCUUUGGCUUGCUGAGGUGGGGUCCAUGAGGCAGACUUCAGAUUUGUAUCUGGUUAAUCUGAGCAAGGUUGGCCUUACGUUUCCCAGUGUCCAGGAACCUGAUCUUCUUGGGAUGCUUUUGAGAAGCCAAGGAACAAUACUAAUGACUGUGUUGGGAUAACAGGUGUAAAUGAGGGCUGCUGCCUCCUCUGCAUAUGAAACCUGGGGCUGGCUCUACUUUCAGGUGAGCAUUGGAUUGUCCUUCAGGUUAUAGCCUACUAAGUCUUUCAUAGUGGGAAGUAAAAGCCAGAGACAGGCUCAGGGGCAUAUUCCAUACCACAUUGUGGUUCUUUUCCUGGAUCUUUCUUCUCUCUCCAUGCAAUCUCACUCAGGAUGCUAACACAUUUGUGAUGACACAGAAGAAGCCUGCUGCUUUGAGUGAAAUGGGCCUGGGAGCUGGAAAUCUCCUUUUUACCAGCUCUGGAGGGGCCUAUGAUGGAACAUCCAACUCUUCAAAACAUGUUCUCAAACCACCAAUCUAGACCAUUCUCUCUCUGACACAACUGGUUCUUUAAACAUUCCCACAAGAUUUGUUUUGGAAUAGGCUACAUUCUGCUCCUCUGGGUUUUCCUGGCUCCUUCUAUUCCAACAGGACACCCAGAGGCACCUGGAAGCAUGUGUAACUGAUCAGGCACAGUUUGUGUGCCUCAAUUCUCUAUUCAUGGAUGAAGCUUCCUGGACACUUUUAUCUAAGACACCAAAAAGCUCCAUUCGCAGUGAAUGGAAGGGAUCUUGCCCAUCUGAAGACUUCAACAAUUCUUUGUCCUGAGUGGCACUUGUGGCCAUAGAAACCCAGGGAAAUCUCCCCACCAUCCAUCACCUUUGCAGGUGUUAUGACCUAGAGAUGUGCACAGCUGGAAGUAGGAAACACACAAGCCUUUUGUCCUUCGCUGGGGUAGUCAUGGUAGGAGAAAUGGCUGAUAGCUUGUCCAUCCAUGCACAUAGGUAAAUGAUGGGGACUGGGUGAGCCUCAUGGAGAAGCAGCUUGACUGACAGGGAAAGCUGCAUCCAGUACUAAGAGACUGAGGGAGGAGAGGAAGCAAGGCGGUCUCUAGAACCUGGCUUUACCAAGAAUGUUCACACUCUCAACCAAAAGAGAGGUUUUACAGAAACACAACCUAGAACCUACCGUGAGUCAGUGACAUGAAAGUGGCCCAUGCAGCACUGCUUUCCAUGGUGGCUGGGUCUAAGAAGGCCAGCCCAAUAGGCCCAGCAGAUCCAAUAUAAUCCUCACAGUACACUGCAACAGCAGUUCACACAUUUGGGCAAGAGUAAGAGGCAUCACAGGCCAGCCACAAUGUGUGGAUGUGUGUGUGUGUGUGUGUGUGUGUGUGUGUGUGUGUGAGAGAGAGAGAGAGAGAGAGAGAGAGAGAGAAAGAGAGAAAGAGUAUGUUUGUGUGUAUGUGUGUGGUGUGUGUGUAUGGUAUGGUGUGUGUGUGCAUGGUGUGUGUGUGAGGGGGGUUGUGUGUAUGGCAUAUGUGUGCAGUGUGUGUGUGUCUGUGUGUGAUGUGAUGUAUGGUAUAUGUUGGGUGGUGUAUGGUAUGUGUGAAUGUGGCGUGUGUGUGUGUCUCUGUGUGUGUGUGUGUGUGAGAGAGAGAGAGUAUGUUUGUGUGUAUGUGUGGUGUGUGUGUGUGUAUGGUAUGGUAUGUGUGUGCAUGGUGUGUGUGUGUGAGGGGUGUGUGUGUAUGGCAUAUGUGUGCAGUGUGUGUGUCUCUGUGUGUGAUGUGAUGUAUGGUAUAUGUUGUGUGGUGUAUGGUAUGUGUGAAUGUGGCAU
rnacentral:lncRNA from 1 species